rnacentral:rRNA from 1 species
UACGUAGGGGGCAAGCGUUGUCCGGAAUUAUUGGGCGUAAAGAGCGUGUAGGCGGUCCGGUAAGUCAGCUGUGAAAGUCAAGGGCUCAACCCUUGAAUGCCGGUUGAUACUGUCGGGCUAGAGUCCGGAAGAGGCGAGUGGAAUUCCCGGUGUAGCGGUGAAAUGCGCAGAUACCGGGAGGAACACCAAUGGCGAAGGCAGCUCGCUGGGACGGUACUGACGCUGAGACGCGAAAGCGUGGGGAGCGAACAGG